UAGAUACAAUACCGGUGAAGUGACAGAAUUGAACUGAAUUGAACAAUUUUCCGUCGUUAGCUUCAUUAAUAUUCAUAUCCAAAGAGCGGGAUUUGUAAAAUGUUUUCAUUGGUCAAUGCAAAUGUCACUCCUCCUUCCAGAAGUUUACAUUUAUAAAUAACAACAACAACAACAAGUGUUAGGGAAUUGUCAAACAUCUAGUCAGAAGUUUCUUAAUUAUUACACAUUAGGAAGAGAGAAGUUUUUUUAUUCUAAAACUAUCACACAUGAGGAAAUAAAAGAAUGUGUUGUGUACAAUGCAAGGUCCUACAUAUGUGACGGCAAGUUCUUUCAAGAAUGGUGGGGGAAUGAUAUACAGCAAAUUUAAAGGAGGUUUACCAGCAGGUUAUUUGUACUGUGGGAACUGUGGAGGUAAAAGUGAAGCAGGGACCUGAUUACGCAAGAUGGAUGUCAAUAUCAUCCAAGAAUUUGGAGACAUGUGCAACUUGAUGAAGACUUUACAAAACAAAAAUUAACACAUACUUUAACUUACAACCUCCUGUCAGACAUUUCUGCAAGGAAUCAAUUGUACCAUACAUCAAAGGCUUAUAGAGAUUUUGACAUUUUUUUAGUUUAUGGUAUUUUUUAUGAAUCAACAAAUGGAUUCAGAAUCUCCUUGUUAGAGAUUAUGUUGAUUAUUCAGUUUGAAUGAGGGGACACAUUCAGAACACCUUGCUAAUAACAGUAUACCUAUAAUCCUCUUGCAAAAAGUUCUGUUAUGUCUUUUUUUAAAGUAACAAAUGAAGAGGACAAGGAGUAAUAAACAUAUUUAUUAGAAUUCCUACAUAUAUAGGAAAUUUAAGUGUAUUUCAGUGACUAGUGUAAUAAUAAUUUCAAAAGACGUCUCUGAAUAUAAAUAAACAAUUACAAUGUAAAUCCCCCCACCAGCAUACAAUUACAAUGAAAGGACUAGAAAUAACAUAAAAAUCAUGUAUUUGCAUUCUUGCUUUGUAAGAACAUAGUAGUGUAAUCAUCAAUCAAGUAAUGUACAUUUUACUUUCAUAACUUAAAAUAUUCUCUAUUUAAAUGGACUUUUUCCUAACAUUUAUUUUCUUGUCAUGUUAUUUGAUAAACAUGUAUAAUAAUGUACAGAUAUUUUUUGUGUUUGAAUGAAACUUGAUAUAUUUGUUCUUGUUGUACCAAUUACUUAUUAUAUUUUGUAAACACAUAUGAAGAGUGCAAUUUUCUUUACAUAUUAAAUUUGUUUUAGUAUUUCAUGGCAUCAUUUUUGUUAUCUGAAAUAUUGCUUCUCUUAUUACCACUUCCC